rnacentral:rRNA from 1 species
UCGAGAAUAAUUCACAAUGGACGAAAGUCUGAUGGUGCAACGCCGCGUGGAGGAUGACGGUCUUCGGAUUGUAAACUCCUGUCAUCCGGGAGUAAGACCUGGCUGUGAAUAGCAGACAGGGUUGAUAGUACCGGAAGAGGAAGGGACGGCUAACUUCGUGCCAGCAGCCGCGGUAAUACGAAGGUCCCGAGCGUUGUUCGGAAUCACUGGGCGUAAAGGGAGCGUAGGCGGCGCGGUAAGUCAGAUGUGAAAUCCCGGGGCUCAACCCCGGAACUGCAUCCGAUACUGCCGUGCUAGAGGAUUGGAGAGGUAGCUGGAAUUCUUGGUGUAGCAGUGAAAUGCGUGGAGAUCAAGAGGAACACUCGUGGCGAAAGCGAGCUACUGGACAAUAUCUGACGCU